rnacentral:rRNA from 1 species
GGGUUGUGAGGUUAAGCGAAUAAGCGUACACGGUGGAUGCCUAGGCAAUCAGAGGCGAUGAAGGACGUGCUAAUCUGCGAAAAGCGUCGGUAAGGUGAUAUGAACCGUUAUACCCGACGAUAUCCGAAUGGGGAAACCCAGUAUCCAAUGGAUACUAUCAUUAACUGAAUCCAUAGGUUAAUGAGGCGAACCGGGAGAACUGAAACAUCUCAGUACCCCGAGGAAAAGAAAUCAACCGAGAUUCCCCUAGUAGCGGCGAGCGAACGGGGAGCAGCCCAGAGUCUUAAUCAAUAGCAGUGUCAGGAGAACGGUCUGGAAAGUCCGGCAGUAAAGGGUGAUAGCCCCGUAUCUGAAGAUGCUGUUAUUGUGAACUCGACGAGUAGGGCGGGACACGUGUUAUCCUGUCUGAAUAUGGGGGGACCAUCCUCCAAGGCUAAAUACUCCUGAUUGACCGAUAGUGAACCAGUACCGUGAGGGAAAGGCGAAAAGAACCCCGGCGAGGGGAGUGAAAAAGAACCUGAAACCGUGUACGUACAAGCAGUAGGAGCCUCUUUAUGGGGUGACUGCGUACCUUUUGUAUAAUGGGUCAGCGACUUAUAUUCUGUAGCAAGGUUAACCGUAUAGGGGAGCCGUAGGGAAACCGAGUCUUAACUGGGCGAAUGAGUUGCAGGGUAUAGACCCGAAACCCGGUGAUCUAUCCAUGGGCAGGUUGAAGGUUGGGUAACACUAACUGGAGGACCGAACCGACUAAUGUUGAAAAAUUAGCGGAUGACUUGUGGAUGGGGGUGAAAGGCCAAUCAAACCGGGAGAUAGCUGGUUCUCCCCGAAAGCUAUUUAGGUAGCGCCUCGUGAACUCAUCUUCGGGGGUAGAGCACUGUUUCGACUAGGGGGUCAUCCCGACUUACCAACUCGAUGCAAACUGCGAAUACCGAAGAAUGUUAUCACGGGAGACACACGGCGGGUGCUAACGUCCGUCGUGAAGAGGGAAACAACCCAGACCGCCAGCUAAGGUCCCAAAGUCAUGGUUAAGUGGGAAACGAAGUGGGAAGGCUCAGACAGCCAGGAUGUUGGCUUAGAAGCAGCCAUCAUUUAAAGAAAGCGUAAUAGCUCACUGGUCGAGUCGGCCCGCGCGGAAGAUGUAACGGGGCUAAACCAUGCACCGAAGCUGCGGCAGCGACACAUAGUGUUGUUGGGUAGGGGAGCGUUCUGUAAGCCUGCGAAGGUGUACUGUGAGGUAUGCUGGAGGUAUCAGAAGUGCGAAUGCUGACAUAAGUAACGAUAAUGCGGGUGAAAAACCCGCACGCCGGAAGACCAAGGGUUCCUGUCCAACGUUAAUCGGGGCAGGGUGAGUCGACCCCUAAGGCGAGGCUGAAAAGCGUAGUCGAUGGGAAACGGGUUAAUAUUCCCGUACUGGUGGUAACUGCGAUGGGGGAACGGAGAAGGCUAGGUUGUCCGGGCGACGGUCGUCCCGGUUCAAGCAGGUAGGCAGAGUGAUUAGGCAAAUCCGGUCACUUAAUGCUGAGAUGUGAUGACGAACCACCAAGGUGGUGAAGCAAUUGAUGCCCCGCUUCCAGGAAAAGCCUCUAAGCUUCAGGUUACCAACAAUCGUACCCCAAACCGACACAGGUGGUCAGGUAGAGAAUACUCAGGCGCUUGAGAGAACUCGGGUGAAGGAACUAGGCAAAAUGGUGCCGUAACUUCGGGAGAAGGCACGCUGGCGGUAGGUAAAGUCCCUCGCGGACGGCGCUGAAGCCAGUCGAAGAUACCAGCUGGCUGCAACUGUUUAUUAAAAACACAGCACUGUGCAAACACGAAAGUGGACGUAUACGGUGUGACGCCUGCCCGGUGCUGGAAGGUUAAUUGAUGGGGUCAGCCGUAAGGCGAAGCUCCUGAUCGAAGCCCCAGUAAACGGCGGCCGUAACUAUAACGGUCCUAAGGUAGCGAAAUUCCUUGUCGGGUAAGUUCCGACCUGCACGAAUGGCGUAAUGAUGGCCAGGCUGUCUCCACCCGAGACUCAGUGAAAUUGAACUCGCUGUGAAGAUGCAGUGUACCCGCGGCAAGACGGAAAGACCCCGUGAACCUUUACUAUAGCUUGACACUGAACAUUGAGCCUUGAUGUGUAGGAUAGGUGGGAGGCUUUGAAGUGUGGACGCCAGUCUGCAUGGAGCCAACCUUGAAAUACCACCCUUUAACGUUUGAUGUUCUAACCUAGGCCCAUAAACUGGGUCGGGGACCGUGUCUGGUGGGUAGUUUGACUGGGGCGGUCUCCUCCUAAAGAGUAACGGAGGAGCACGAAGGUUGGCUAAGCAUGGUCGGACAUCAUGCGGUUAGUGCAAAGGCAUAAGCCAGCUUGACUGCGAGAGUGACGGCUCGAGCAGGUACGAAAGUAGGUCUUAGUGAUCCGGUGGUUCUGAAUGGAAGGGCCAUCGCUCAACGGAUAAAAGGUACUCCGGGGAUAACAGGCUGAUACCGCCCAAGAGUUCAUAUCGACGGCGGUGUUUGGCACCUCGAUGUCGGCUCAUCACAUCCUGGGGCUGAAGUAGGUCCCAAGGGUAUGGCUGUUCGCCAUUUAAAGUGGUACGCGAGCUGGGUUUAGAACGUCGUGAGACAGUUCGGUCCCUAUCUGCCGUGGGCGUUGGAAGAUUGAGAGGGGUUGCUCCUAGUACGAGAGGACCGGAGUGAACGCACCACUGGUGUUCGGGUUGUCAUGCCAAUGGCAUUGCCCGGUAGCUAAGUGCGGAAGAGAUAACCGCUGAAAGCAUCUAAGCGGGAAACUUGCCUCGAGAUGAGUCUUCCCUGUCGCUUUAAGCGACCUAAAGGAACGUUUAAGACUAAGACGUUGAUAGGCUGGGUGUGUAAGCGUAGCGAUACGUUGAGCUAACCAGUACUAAUGAACCGUGAGGCUUAACCUGACAACACCGAAAGUGUUUUG